rnacentral:rRNA from 1 species
UACGGAGGAUCCAAGCGUUAUCCGGAAUCAUUGGGUUUAAAGGGUCCGUAGGCGGUUUGGUAAGUCAGUGGUGAAAGCCCAUCGCUCAACGGUGGAACGGCCAUUGAUACUGCCAGACUUGAAUUAUUAGGAAGUAACUAGAAUAUGUAGUGUAGCGGUGAAAUGCUUAGAGAUUACAUGGAAUACCGAUUGCGAAGGCAGGUUACUACUAAUGGAUUGACGCUGAUGGACGAAAGCGUGGGUAGCGAACAGG